UUUUAUGAGAGUUUGAUCCUGGCUCAGGACGAACGCUGGCGGCGUGCCUAAUACAUGCAAGUCGAACGCUUCUUUUUCCACCGGAGCUUGCUCCACCGGAAAAAGAGGAGUGGCGAACGGGUGAGUAACACGUGGGUAACCUGCCCAUCAGAAGGGGAUAACACUUGGAAACAGGUGCUAAUACCGUAUAACAAUCAAAACCGCAUGGUUUUGAUUUGAAAGGCGCUUUCAGGUGUCGCUGAUGGAUGGACCCGCGGUGCAUUAGCUAGUUGGUGAGGUAACGGCUCACCAAGGCCACGAUGUAUAGCCGACCUGAGAGGGUGAUCGGCCACAUUGGGACUGAGACACGGCCCAAACUCCUACGGGAGGCAGCAGUAGGGAAUCUUCGGCAAUGGACGAAAGUCUGACCGAGCAACGCCGCGUGAGUGAAGAAGGUUUUCGGAUCGUAAAACUCUGUUGUUAGAGAAGAACAAGGAUGAGAGUAACUGUUCAUCCCUUGACGGUAUCUAACCAGAAAGCCACGGCUAACUACGUGCCAGCAGCCGCGGUAAUACGUAGGUGGCAAGCGUUGUCCGGAUUUAUUGGGCGUAAAGCGAGCGCAGGCGGUUUCUUAAGUCUGAUGUGAA
rnacentral:rRNA from 1 species